CAAUAAAGAAGACAUACACAUAUACAUACACAUCCCUCAAGACUGCACGCACAUGUCAGAGUUCAGAGGCCCAUCUUAAUCUGCAUUGAUGGGGUUGCAGGGGGCGAUGUGUGGUGUGGGUGAAGGGAAGUCCUUCAGCCAGGGACUGAGGUUAGGGCACAAAAACCCUAAUCUUCUUGUUCAGAGAGAGCUGUGACAUUAAAGGGCCCUUUCAGAGAACACAAUUAUGGAGUGUUCAUUCCCUCUGUGACAGGUGCAGUCUUAGAUGUACAUAUUUUAUAGAAAUGAAGUCGCUUAAUUCCUAUGACAAUGGAUAAAUGGAUAAGGGGACCCUGAUGCCUAAAGAGGUGGCCCCAUAGCCUAACGGGACCAAAGCAGGGGCAGUGAGGCCCAGGAGGACACAUGUCACAGGUCCCAUGUCUUUUUCCAUCAGCGAGUCCUCGGGGUCUACCUCAGUGCCCAGAGCAUGAGAACAGGACUGUCCAGGAGAUCAGAGAAUUCUAUUUUCCGUGGGAUGAGAAGACUUCAGAGUCCUGCCCAUGUCUUCUAAUCUUCGGCUCCCAAAUCCUGGGUUCUUCCUCGGGCACCCUGACGGUGAAGAAAGGUGCUGAAUCCACCAGAAACAACCUUAUUCCAGUGGGGAAGCUUGUGUCUUCCUUGGCAUCUUGUACUCCCUCCCUCCUGUCUCCUCCUCACCUCCCUCUCUAUGCAAAGAAAACUGUCUUCCUGCCCUUAGAAGAAGGUGGCCCCCAGCUCCAGCUCUCAACAUCCCUACCACCCCUCCAGCUAAGAAGGUUGGAUGCACUGGAAAAGCCCCGGGCUUCCAGAUUAACCUUGCAAAACCACUCGGCUGUAGCUGGUCUCAGUUGAGCCCCCACCUGCAGGUGAUACCACCUCAGGACUGGAGGGUUGACUAAGUGAACUAUAGCAUGGAAAAGUGCUCUGUGCAUUUUGAAAUCUAUGCAGAUGUUCAUUAUUAUCACUUUUAGAGCUCUGCCUCCCUAGAGGUUCUAACCUCUAGAAAUAUCCAGAGUUUCCAAAUCUCACUCUGGGGAGGGGAAACCUAACCAGUGCCUCGUCCCCUUCCUUCUGGGGAAAUAAUGGAUGGGGAUCCAUGUAAGAGGAAGGAGGCCAUGAAGAAGCGAGGGGAUGCUCUGUUUUGUGGGAAACAGGAGGAGCAGCAGGAUUUUGUUCAACAAACAGGUCUGCCGGGUCAGUUCACACCCUACACCUUAGCUCAAAAAUAAACUUGGAUGAGGCCGACUCUACGUGAAUUCUGAGUAGAAGGGGAGGUUAUCUGGUUCAAUAAGAAUUUAAUAAACUUCCAAUAUGUUCCCUGAAGCCACCAUAGGAAUAUAUGGAAAGGUACUCUUCCAGGUUUCACCUUUCUGAUAACUUCAUCCCUCUGCAAC
ensembl:lncRNA